rnacentral:rRNA from 1 species
AACGAACGCUGGCGGCAUGCCUAACACAUGCAAGUCGAACGAGACCUUCGGGUCUAGUGGCGCACGUGUGCGUAACGCGUGGGAACCUGCCCUUAGGUUCGGAAUAACUCCCCGAAAGGGGUGCUAAUACCGGAUAAUGUCUUCGGACCAAAGAUUUAUCGCCUUUGGAUGGGCCCGCGUUGGAUUAGCUAGUUGGUAGGGUAAUAGCCUACCAAGGCGACGAUCCAUAGCUGGUCUGAGAGGAUGAUCAGCCACACUGGGACUGAGACACGGCCCAGACUCCUACGGGAAGCAGCAGUGGGGAAUAUUGGACGAUGGGCGAAAGCCUGAUCCAGCAAUGCCGCGUGAGUGAUGAAGGCCUUAGGGUUGUAAAGCUCUUUUACCCGGGAUGAUAAUGACAGUACCGGGAGAAUAAGCACCGGCUAACUCCGUG